rnacentral:rRNA from 1 species
GUAGUCAUAUGCUUGUCUCAAAGAUUAAGCCAUGCAUGUCUAAGUAUAAGUAACUUGUACUGUGAAACUGCGAAUGGCUCAUUAAAUCAGUUAUCGUUUAUUUGAUAGUACCUUACUACAUGGAUACCUGUGGUAAUUCUAGAGCUAAUACAUGCUAAAAACCCCGACUUCAGGAAGGGGUGUAUUUAUUAGAUAAAAAACCAACGCCCUUCGGGGCUCCUUGGUGAAUCAUAAUAACUUAACGAAUCGCAUGGCCUUGCGCCGGCGAUGGUUCAUUCAAAUUUCUGCCCUAUCAACUUUCGAUGGUAGGAUAGUGGCCUACCAUGGUGGCAACGGGUAACGGGGAAUUAGGGUUCGAUUCCGGAGAGGGAGCCUGAGAAACGGCUACCACAUCCAAGGAAGGCAGCAGGCGCGCAAAUUACCCAAUCCCGAUACGGGGAGGUAGUGACAAUAAAUACUGAUACGGGGCUCUUUUGGGUCUCGUAAUUGGAAUGAGAACAAUUUAAAUCCCUUAACGAGG